AUGGCGAACAUGCUCAUCCUUACAGGCAUGGCCACAAUCCUCGCCGCCAGCACUGUCAUCAUAGUCACCUCCGUCAGCCUCAGCCCCGCGCACAUUCACUUCUCCAUCACCGACGCCAACGGUGCAAACAGCACCGUGGACGGAAUGGCCGGGGUGUCCUUCAACUUCAACCUCACCGUCGGCAACCCCAGCCGCCGUGCAGGGGUGGAGUAUAAGGACGUCAUCGUGAACCUGCAGCUCGCCCGUAAGCGCGUGAAGAGGAAAUCGGUGCCGGCGACGGUGAAUGAGUCCAUGCCGCUGAGCCAGCGGCCCAACAGCCCCAUAUCCAUGGCCGUCGCAGCGUUCGUGGAGCAGGACUUAUUAGAUCUCUACUUGAAGAAGCUGCACUACAGAGACCAUCCUACGUUGACAAUCAUUGUCACAGCACUGGUCCAUUUCAAGGUUGGGGUGGCCUACACCAGGCUCUACGACAUUACAAUCUCCUGCCCGCCCGUCGACUUCUCCGACGUCAAAAACAUUUUUCCGGAGGGCAACGUCAAUUGCUCUGCCUGA
rnacentral:rRNA from 1 species